AUACGGAGGGUGCGAGCGUUAAUCGGAAUUACUGGGCGUAAAGCGUGCGUAGGCGGUUUGUUAAGUCAGAAGUGAAAGCCCUGGGCUCAACCUGGGAACGGCUUUUGAGACUGGCAGACUCGAGUUGAGUAGAGGGGAGUGGAAUUUCCGGUGUAGCGGUGAAAUGCGUAGAGAUCGGAAGGAACACCAGUGGCGAAGGCGACUCCCUGGACUCGAACUGACGCUGAGGUACGAAAGCGUGGGUAGCAAACAGGAUUAGAUACCCUAGUAGUCC
rnacentral:rRNA from 1 species